rnacentral:rRNA from 1 species
CCUGAUGCAGCCAUGCCGCGUGUAUGAAGAAGGCCUUCGGGUUGUAAAGUACUUUCAGUCGUGAGGAAGGUGGUGUUGUUAAUAGCAGCAUCAUUUGACGUUAGCGACAGAAGAAGCACCGGCUAACUCCGUGCCAGCAGCCGCGGUAAUACGGAGGGUGCGAGCGUUAAUCGGAAUUACUGGGCGUAAAGCGCAUGCAGGUGGUUCGUUAAGUCAGAUGUGAAAGCCCGGGGCUCAACCUCGAGACUGAUUGGAAAACUGGCGGACUAGAGUACUGUAGAGGGGGGUAGAAUUUCAGGUGUAGCGGUGAAAUGCGUAGAGAUCUGAAGGAAUACCAGUGGCGAAGGCGGCCCCCUGGACAGAUACUGACACUCAGAUGCGAAAGCGUGGGGAGCAAACAGGAUUAGAUACCCUGGUAGUCCACGCCGUAAACGAUGUCUACUUGGAGGUUGUGGCCUUGAGCCGUGGCUUUCGGAGCUAACGCGUUAAGUAGACCGCCUGGGGA